AUGACGUCGAGAUCUGCUGACCACGGGGAAGAUCCUUGGCCUACAUGCCAUAAAGACUCGGUCUCAUCGCUUGCGGCGACCCGCUUCAUCGGCUUAAAAAGAAUCUUUUUAUGUGGUGGUGCUUUCCCAGAUCUUGGUAUGACGAUUGUUCUCAUCUUUUUUAGGCGUUGCCAUGGCGGCGGCAGAGGAGUUUGUGGACUACGUUUCGGCGAGACACGAGUUUUUGUAAGGAUGGAAUAGUAGUUUUACUUCUUGUGAAAUUUUUUGUGCAAAGUUACUUGA
rnacentral:rRNA from 1 species